rnacentral:misc_RNA from 1 species
GUUCCGAGAUAUCAAUCCGGGAAAAUAAAGUUUCACUUAGUUGCCAACCUGAUACCAUCGAUUAAAACAUAACACGUGUUCGACAGUUUUGAAAAUUUCCUAUUCACAUUCUUACGUCUUUGCGUUCUCUCAACUUUCUUAAGAAACGUUGCCAGAAGAAUCGUUCUCCGAAAGAUUCGCGAAAUUCGGAAAGAUCCGAAAAAUACUUCGAGACAUCAAAUUUCAAAAUGACCGAUUCAUUUACAAGCCUGAGAGAUCGAAAGGCGAGUUCUACGUUGAAAGAUUCGAAGAUUUGAGCGGCAGAACUGCGGCAGGUGCGAGUACAGUUGUCACGGUCACUCGACGAUGCGUGCAACUGCACAAGGUGCACCUUGACCCAGCGAAUCCGGCUUCGGUGGCGGCUUGCAUUCGCGUGCGAAUCGAGAUUAAGCAGCUAAUCAGCCUGACCGACCUUAGUCGUGGUUCGCAAAAUCACGCUGAUUCGAACGCUUGUCUUGGAAAGAUUUUACGUGUACAGGGUGAUUCAUAACUACUUGUGAGGAUGAUUCUGGCGCUUGUGAAAGCUUCCCAUUCGCGAUCCCAUUUUCUCCGGGGAAAUUUUACGUACAUAAAGGGGUGGAGAAAAUAAAUAUAUAACUAAACGAAAUUUUAGCGGAUAACGAGUCGAAGAAAUUUUAAACAACUCUUUGUUAAAUUUAGAAUUUUAUCGCCUAUUGCCUACCAUAUUAGGAUUAAGCUAAAUUUGCGUAUUGAUGAGAUAGAUAGAUAGAUGGUUGUUUAUUUUUGCGUAAAGAAUUAAGUCUUGCCUGAUCAAAUGUGAUGCAACAGAGCAUCUUUAACGUUUUUCAAGGUUCGUCGAUAUUUUUGCAGACAUUUCAGGUGAUCUCAUUUAUUUAUCUUAUAUAUUUCUACCUGAAACUUGGAAGUGAAACUUGAAAAUCUCCGAGUUUGUCGAAUGA